CCAGACUCCUACGGGAGGCAGCAGUGGGGAAUAUUGGGCAAUGGGCGCAAGCCUGACCCAGCAACGCCGCGUGAAGGAAGAAGGCCCUCGGGUUGUAAACUUCUUUUGUCAGGGACGAAGAAAGUGACGGUACCUGACGAAUAAGCCACGGCUAACUCCGUGCCAGCAGCCGCGGUAAUACGGAGGAUGCGAGCGUUAUCCGGAUUUAUUGGGUUUAAAGGGUGCGUAGGCGGGCAUUUAAGCCGGCGGUCAAAUGGCGGGGCUCAACCCCGGCCUGCCGUCGGAACUGGGUGCCUUGAGUGGGCGAGAAGGAUGCGGAAUGCGUGGUGUAGCGGUGAAAUGCAUAGAUAUCACGCAGAACCCCGAUUGCGAAGGCAGCAUACCGGCGCCCUACUGACGCUGAGGCACGAAAGUGCGGGUAUCGAACAGGAUUAGAUACCCUUGUAGCA
rnacentral:rRNA from 1 species